GCCCAGGUGGCCCAGUCGGUUAAGCGUCUGACUUUGGCUCAGGUCAUGAUCUCUUGGUUCGUGGGUUCGAGCCCCGCCUCGGGCU
rnacentral:tRNA from 1 species